AUUCCAGCUCCAAUAGCGUAUAUUAAAGUUGUUGCAGUUAAAAAGCUCGUAGUUGAACUUCUGGCUAUUCUUCCAGCUGGCUUCGGUCGCUGUAAGAGUGGUCAUCCGCUUGGGAACUACGUUCGAACUUCACUGUUCGGCGUAAGGAACAGGCAUUUUACUUAGAAAAAAUUAGAGUGUUCAAGGCAGGCUAUCGCCCUGAAUACACAAGCUUGGAAUAAUGAAAUAGGACUAUUUCCAUUUUAUUGGUUAUUGGAAUUAGUAAUGAUUAAUAGGGCCAGUUGGGGGCAUUAGUAUUCAGUAGUCAGAGGUGAAAUUCUUGGAUUUACUGAAGACUAACUAGUGCGAAAGCAUUUGCCAAGGAUGUUUUCAUCG
rnacentral:rRNA from 1 species